GUGUGCGUGUGAUCGAGCAGGAGAAAAGGGGAAGGGGUGUAAACCCUAACCCACAUGAAAUCAUCAAAUUGGAAAAGGAUUUGAGGGUUAAUUGGAUGCAUGAACCAAGAUUUAUGAUCACUCAAGCGUUCUUGACACCAAGAUAGGAAUCCCAAAUUGACAUGGACUCAAGUAUGGAAAGCUAACGGGUCAAGCGGAGGUGAGGAAGCAAGCAUGAACACUAACACUUAAGAUAUGUAGGUGCGUAUGAUCAGACGUAUGAAUAUAUGAAUGCACGAAGUAGGAUUUAUCGUCUAUGAAAAGAAUGGGACAGGAAUGAGAACGUCAGACUCUUGUAGAAUUGAAGCCGAACCUUGAAGCCGAACUCGGAACAAAGGAAUCCGAGAGGAUAGUCGAAUGAAUCAAAGUACUACACGGAUUUCUUCUGCUGCUAAGGAAGCGAAGCGGACGUAGAUCGAGUCAAGAGCAAGGAUUGUACGGAUAGAUCGGUCACAUAGUUGAAGUAUAUAAUGUCUAGAAAUCUAAAUUUUAGUAUGAAUGUUGUGAAUUCUUUUAUAGAACGUUUAACAUUUUUAGAAUUUGGAACCUUCGUGAAAGUAAUGUCGUUAAUAAGGAAAGAAAUUUUA
rnacentral:lncRNA from 1 species